rnacentral:rRNA from 1 species
UACGUAGGGUGCGAGCGUUGUCCGGAAUUAUUGGGCGUAAAGAGCUCGUAGGCGGUCUGUCGCGUCGGUCGUGAAAACUUGGGGCUUAACCCUGAGCUUGCGGUCGAUACGGGCAUGACGGGAGUUCGGCAGGGGAGACUGGAAUUCCUGGUGUAGCGGUGAAAUGCGCAGAUAUCAGGAGGAACACCGGUGGCGAAGGCGGGUCUCUGGGCAGUAACUGACGCUGAGGAGCGAAAGCGUGGGGAGCGAACAGG